rnacentral:misc_RNA from 1 species
CAUCUGCAAUGAAGUUUCAGCCUGAGGUUCUUGUGAGGAAUCCUCUGAUGUUGGUAAGCAACUCUUCCAGCCUCCAUCAGCAGUCCUCUUAAAAAUGCGUGGCUGCCUCAGAGGAAAAGUAUAUUGCCAGUCUGGAUGUUUAAUUAUGUACUCCCAUUGCCUUCUUUCAUUAUCCACAAAAUCUGGACCCUCUGCAGAUGGUGAAGUGGAACAGUUAAGUAGGAUAUCUGCAUCAGAAAGUUGUUCCAGUCUCAAAGCAAUGUAUCGUUGAUUUGAGGUCCAACAACAUGAAGCAAUCACAAAUCGAUCAGCUAGAGUAUCAUAUGACUCCAGCAACUUGCCAUUCC